rnacentral:rRNA from 1 species
GGAAUAUUGCUCAAUGGGCGAAAGCCUGAAGCAGCGACGCCGCGUGGACGAUGAAGGUCUUCGGAUCGUAAAGUCCUUUUCUGUGUGACGAGGAAGGACGGUAGCACAGGAAUAAGUGUCGGCUAACUACGUGCCAGCAGCCGCGGUAACACGUAGGACGCAAGCGUUAUACGGAAUUACUGGGCGUAAAGAGCGUGUAGGCGGUGCUGUAAGUCAACUGUGAAAGCGCCCGGCUAAACUGGGAGAGGUCGGAUGAGACUGCAGCGCUAGUGGGUCGUAGAGGAAUGUGGAAUUCCGGGUGUAGUGGUGAAAUGCGUAGAGAUCCGGAGGAACACCAGAGGCGAAGGCGGCAUUCUGGACGACAUCAGACGCUGAGACGCGACAGCACGGGGAGCGAAC